rnacentral:lncRNA from 1 species
GGCUUGGGUCACUGCUGUGCCUUGAGUUCCUUCCCUGGCUAGGGAAAUUUCACAUGCUACGGGUAUGGAAAAAAAAAUUCACUUCAAAAAACAAAAAAAAAAAAAAAAAAAAAGACAAUUUCCGGAUUUUACAGAUUGAAUUUACAUCAAUCUAGAUCGGUAUGUUGUUGAUCAAAAUAAAUCUCUGAUCGGUAUGCUGUUGAUCAAAAUAAAUCUCUGAUCGGUAUGUUGUUGAUCAAUAUAAAGUAAGAGUGGUGACUCCAUCUUUUCUGAGAGAUAAAUGUGGAUUAACCACUGCCCCUGCCCCCCUCCAAGCAACCCUCACUUAUAAAUGUCUAUGUAUGUUUACACAACAGAACAUUCAAAAGCUAUGAGGUUAUAGUGAAGUAAGCCAAUCUUUCACACUUUUCCCUACUUUCCCCUCCUCUACUUAGGUACCAACAAUAUUUAUUAAAUGAGAAUAUAAUGAACAUUUUUAUACUAUCUUUGUUCUGCUUUUUAAUAUGUAUUAUUUUUACAAUCAGAAAAAAAUAACAAAGAAAUUCAUUCCCCCAUACAUUUGAAAAUUACAGCUAGAUUUGUCUUUUGUUUUUUGGAUAUAAUACUUGCUAAAAUUCCAUUGACAUUGUAGCUAAAGUGUCCACUCUUUAAAUUAGCCCAGGUCACUCUAGGGAUUAUUUUAGUGAUAUUAGCUCUAUAAACAGUUCCAGAGAUACCUUCAUUCUUCCACUGUGUAAUGGGGGACAUUCUUUGGAAUGAAAACAUACCAAACUUAACAGAGUUAUUGAAUUCUCUUCUGCUAUGAAAGUAAUGAAGCUACUGUGAAAACUGGCUGCAUGCUUUAAAAUUUUUGGAGAAGUGAAGCUGUAACCAAUUAAUUCAUUAACUUAUUAAAAUUCACUUGACCCCAAUGAACUCAAUAAGUUGUACACAUUUGUAGUUUGCUUCUGGAAGCCCUGUGGAUAGUGGCAACCUUGUCUAAUUGGGGCAGCAGCUGCCAGGACCAGCUCAAUCAGAACUGAUGAGGACUUUGUCCCAUGACUUUCAUGUGUGCCCAAGUGGCAUUCUGAACCCACUCAAACCUCUUAUUUCUCUCAAUCCCGCCUUCCUCUGCUGUUUGAAAUGUAAGGUGCUUGCUUAUUUAUCCAUAUUAUCAUCUGGUGUCAAUCCAUGUUGCUAUGUGCUAUCUUUCUAGUAACUCAUCCUUGGUUGAGAGUCCUCAGAAAUAUUUUCAUCAUACUCUAAAGAACCUUCCCCCCUUAAUUUUACUAUUCAAGACAAAUACAUAGAUGAAAACCCAACUCUUUUAUAUCUUUAUCUUUCCAGAAUUGUUUCCGUUGAGUUCUCUGGGAAGCAGAUGCUAAAAUGGAGUUAGGAGUGCAAGAGGUUUAUUGGAGGGUAACACCUGUGAAAGAUAAAAAGGGGGCAGGAAAUAGGAUUGAAAAGGAAAGGCUCAGACCACAAUGCAUAGCUGACAAGGUCUCAGUCAAUCCAAUGGAGAGCUGGAGGACAAAGACCGAUGAUUAGAAGGGUUCUGCCAUACCCAGCUGGGGCUCUCCAGGAAAAGUACCAGCUCCUGCAGGUACUAACAGCUUGUGGACUGAACAUCCAUGUGGAUGAAAUUUCAUGAAGUUCAUGAAGAGAGUAGCAGCCCUAAUGCUGCCUCAUAGAUUGAAUUCUUCCACUGCCCCACCUCUGAAAUCUUAAACUCCAACAUGCUAGCCACUCACCCUAAUGCCCUAUCUUUCCACCGUUCACUCCCUCAUUCUCAUUAUAUCUGCUCUUUGCUUGCAUGUGAAACUUCCACUCCCUUAGUCUCUCACCCUUCUCUCAACCUUUCAGCCCUCUCUUGAUUUCGCUGUUUUCACCAGAUAGGCUAGACCCAGUUUUCCAUUACUUCAUCAUUUCUUCAGCUAAUAUCCUUAAAUUCCUUGCCCCUUUUCCCUAAGUGCCCACAAUGCACCAUGUUUAUCCAUCUACCUUUUUUAUUCCUAUACUCAAACUGCUGGCUGCAGCUAAAGAAAGGCAUACAUUACCACAGAUGAAUGUCACAUAGUUUCCAAUCUUCACUGAAUCCUAAACACUAUACAGAAAGUCUAUAAUUAGGUACUUCCUUCUCGCAUGGCAUCUAAAGAAAAAUAUUAAUUUUUUUGUUUUGCAACAUGUUAAAGAGUACAAUGGGGAAAGUUCUUUAG